ACAACCUCAACUCAUUCUCAUUGCGAGAAAAGAGUUGGAUUUGAGCAUAUCCACCAGGUCUUACAUUUGUGUGAGUUCUUGGAGGAUGCUUGAAAUAAGAGGUUCGGCCGGCAGUUGCCUGGGCUACAAGCAUUUCAUACUUAAUCCCGUCAAACGGAUUAUAUCCUUUGCUGCAGCCAACAUACAGGUUAACUUGUGCCAGUGUUCCGACUGAUGCAGGAAAGUUGAGAACUUUUGGUUCUCUUCCAA
rnacentral:misc_RNA from 1 species